UCUGAUCUGCUCAAUCACAUAUGCUACAUGAUGUUACAGGUAACGAUAGGCUCAUUAGUUUUAGACUCACACUCAGCAAAGAAGAACAAACAAACUUCUGCUCCGACUGACUGCUGAGAGGAAAGGUCAGCUGGCAAUGGGUGGAACUUCCUCUAAAAGAGCCUAUUUUUGGCAAAAGAAGAAGAAGUCGUCACCUGUGAACAAAGCCUGGAGUCAACUGAAGGGGGCGCUACCCCAUAAGAAACGCAAGAGGAAGAGUCUUCUGUCCCUGGAUAAACUAAACCUGGAUAACCUGAGGAAGGAGAAGCAUUCCCAGAAGAGAUUCUCAUUGCCAACAGACAAGAAAGAACCGAUAUCGCUGAAAAGACUCUCACUUGCUAACGUGAGGAAGGAAUCAAUUCAGACUGCCUCAUCAAGAAAGAAGGAGAAGGAUGUAGGAGGGCUGGGAAAAGUAGGAGAGCAGAUAAAAAGGAAAUUUUCUCAAGAGCCUAUGAAGGGGAUCAGCACUCAAAAAGAGGUUGUUCCUUCCUCUGUGAACCUGAAGGAAACGGUCCAAAAAAUGCAGCAAAAGAGUCCAAAAAGAAAGUCAAUGAGCUCAUGAGAUCCAUUCGUCCAACAGGAUCCAAAGCAAAUGGACAAUUUAGAGCAAAAGAAUCCUGAAUUUGGUUGGAAGACAAAAGAAAAGACGUGAGGUCACAGUCAGAGAAGAGUCAGAGAAUUUCAUGCUUUCUUAGUUUUUAAUGUCACAGUCAGUGUCAUUGUCAGGUGAUCAUGGCUGAAAAUGAGACACGGGAAACUGAAACACCUUGAUGUCAGUUACACAGUUGUAACAUUAAUUAGCUGCAAUACAUUUACCAUAAAGCUUCACAUCACUUGU